rnacentral:lncRNA from 10 species
AGGAGGUGAGCGGUGUCGAGUGAGGGAGUGAGGGAAGCUUCGUCUGUAUUUACAGCCACUCCCCUUUGCUCACAUUCCCGCCUGAGCUCCACCUUCUCAGAUGAGCAGCAGCAUUAGAUGCUCAUAGGAGAACGCACCCUGUUGUGAACUGUGCAUGUGAGGGAUCUGGGUUGCGCUGUCCUUAUGAGAGUCUAAUACCUAUUGAUCUGUCACUUUCUCCCAUCACGCUCAGGUGGGAACAUCCAGUUGCAGGAAAACAAGCUUAACACGCCCACUGAUUCUACAUUAUGCUCCUACCUCCCGGCAGCCUCUCCAGGCCCAGAACUUUCUCCAGUCAGCCUCUACAGACCAAGCUCAUGACUCACAAUGGCCUAUUUAGGCCCAUACCCUACGUCACGGCAGCCUCCGCAGAUGAGGCUACUGCCUCACAACAGCCUCCACAGGCACAGCUCCAUCGUUACAAUGGCCUCUUUAGACCCAGCUCCUGCCUCCCAGCCUUCUCUCCAGGCCCUGAACUUUCUCAAGUCGACCUCACCAGGCCCAGCUCAUGCUUCUUUGCAGCCUCUCCAGGCCCAGCUCCUGCAUCUUGGUGGCCCCUCCAGGCCCAGCCUCUGCCUCCCGUCAGCCUCUACAGUCCCAACGUCUGCCUCACAGCAGAUUCUUCACGCCCAGCAUCUACCUCACUGUGGACCCCCCAAGCCAAGCUCCCAACCUUUCAGCAGCUUCUACACACCCA